rnacentral:pre_miRNA from 1 species
UCAACUGAAAAAGUCAUCAACAACAAAGUUGAAUAACUCAUCAAGAUCUAAAACUUUUAUUUUUGUUAUUUCUUCAUCUGACGAAAUGUUAGUAAUAUUAUUCACAAAUUUUACAUAUAUGUGUUAUAGUUUAUAAAACCAGAUAAGAGAUAUGUCAAUUUUGUGAACAAUGUUACUAUCACUUUGUCGUAUGAAGAAAUGACCAAAAUAAAAGUUUUAGAUCUUGAUGAGUUGUUCAACUUUGUUGUUGAUGACUUUUUUNNGAUGA